rnacentral:rRNA from 1 species
UACGUAGGGUGCAAGCGUUAAUCGGAAUUACUGGGCGUAAAGCGUGCGCAGGCGGUGAUGUAAGACAGUUGUGAAAUCCCCGGGCUCAACCUGGGAACUGCAUCUGUGACUGCAUCGCUGGAGUGCGGCAGAGGGGGAUGGAAUUCCGCGUGUAGCAGUGAAAUGCGUAGAUAUGCGGAGGAACACCGAUGGCGAAGGCAAUCCCCUGGGCCUGCACUGACGCUCAUGCACGAAAGCGUGGGGAGC